GUACUGACUUUGGCACCACAAAUACUGAAAUUGGAAUGAUACAGAGAAGAUUAGCAUGGUCCUCGUGCAGGGAUGACACGCAAAUUCAUGAAGCAUUCCAUAUUUUU
ensembl:snRNA U6 U6 spliceosomal RNA